GGCUGAGCAUCGGCUCUGGAUUUCUAUAAUAGUCCACGGAUGUGACUAAAGCUAGACUAUGCCCAAAUAUGGAGGUCACCGGCAACAGAUGAACCAUCUCAGAGUCUCAGGAACAUCAGAAGAUCUGGCUCUCUACCACCAAAGCAGGAGAUCAACAGAUCUUGACUGAUGGCAAAGUCUCCACGGGAUAUCCGUUCUGUGCAGUUGCUUCCUGGAGACCGAGGAAAGGUCAUUUCUGCUUCCAAGGAGUACAGCAUGCUGUCUCUGUAAGACACCAACUCUGGCCCUGGAUUUCAGCACAAGACAGAAGUGUCUUGCAUGGUAAUGUGGUGACCCAGCUAAGCUAGGUUAUGCUCACUGUG
rnacentral:lncRNA from 1 species